UAGGACCCCUAAUAUAUACGUCCCGUACACCUCACGGUCCACUUCCAACGAGUCCAGUCGAUCAUUUAGCCAGCUUUCAAACUCCCCGGCGUCUGCCAUGGGCGCGGCCAUCUUGGACCUGUGGGGUCUUUCGGUAGCGCACGGAUGUCCUAUGUGACUGCCUGUUGAAAAAGAAGAUUGUGGAUGACAUCAGUGAUCGAAUCUGUGACACAUGAUGAAUGGGUGGACACUAAGGGACAAGACAUCAGUGCUUUAAAAGUGUUUAUCCAUGGUUGGUGAACUUCCGUGACCUAUGGCAGUCGGGAGAAACUUUUUGUCGUGGCUUUGGCGCCCUGCCUGGAUGACCGUGCCAGCUCUUGCCGCUUCUGAGCAGAGCAGACGAGUGAUGGGAAGGGGGCUGAGUGGAUGCGUCUAGACAGCCAAGUGGAGGAGGGCAAAUAUUUAGCCAUGUCACUUGGGGAGGGGAUGCGGGCCUCCUCUUAGCCACAGAAUCAGGCCAUGUCUCCAUCCUGCUCCCAAAGCUGCUUCGCACUCUGUAUUCAGGGUCACGGAUCUCAUUUCUUGGAUAAUAUUUCAAGCUGGUCACAGAUGGGGAAUUAAAUUGAAGACCUGGCUUGGAAUUGGGCAUAAAGGAUGGAUUUUGGGGGCUUCUCAGAGAGAUGAUAUGAAAAAGGAAACAGAUACUGUAACUGUAGAUGUACUUAUCCGACAUUUAAGGGUUUCUAUUAAUAAAUGCAUGAAACGCUGACUUAGUUGUUUGCUCGCUGAAAGCAGAACAACCCCCACAGUCACCACCUAUAAUCUGACAUGAGUCACUUCAUUUUAGAAUGAAUUGUUACUUUGCUGUUGAUGGCUGAU